rnacentral:rRNA from 1 species
GUGGGGAAUCUUGCGCAAUGGGCGAAAGCCUGACGCAGCCAUGCCGCGUGGAUGAUGAAGGUCUUAGGAUUGUAAAAUCCUUUCACCGGUGAAGAUAAUGACUGUAGCCGGAGAAGAAGCCCCGGCUAACUUCGUGCCAGCAGCCGCGGUAAUACGAAGGGGGCUAGCGUUGCUCGGAUUUACUGGGCGUAAAGGGCGCGUAGGCGGACAUUCAAGUCAGGGGUGAAAUCCCGGGGCUCAACCUCGGAACUGCCUUUGAUACUGGGUGUCUUGAGUAUGAGAGAGGUGUGUGGAACUCCGAGUGUAGAGGUGAAAUUCGUAGAUAUUCGGAAGAACACCAGUGGCGAAGGCGACACACUGGCUCAUUACUGACGCUGAGGCGCGAAAGCGUGGGGAGCAAACAGGAUUAGAUACCCGAGUAGUCC